rnacentral:sRNA from 1 species
UUUAUUUUGGCUUUUUGAAAAAUUAUCUAGAGGUACUCUUUGCAAGUGUGAGUUUACACUGGUCUUUAUGAAACAGAGCUAAAGCAAAACAGAUAUAAACAGCUUCUUUUUUUUAUUUUUUUUUGGGACGGAGUCUCGCCCUGUUACCAGGUUGGAGUGCAGUGGCACAAUCUCAGCUCACUGCAACCUCUGCCUCCUGGGCUCAAGUGAUUCUUCUGCCUCCUGAGUAGCUGGGACUACAGGCGCGCACCACCAUGCCCAGCUAAUUUUUGUAUUUUUAGUAGACACGGGGUUUCACCAUGUCGGCCAGGAUGGUCUCUCGAUCUCGACCUCGUGAUCUGCCCGCUUCGGCCUCCCAAGGUGCUGGAAUUACAGGCAUGAGCCUAAACAGCUUCUUGAGGGACAAUCAAAUCAGUACCACAGAUUCCACUUUUUCUGUUUAACAUAGUGAGUUUCUAAAGUUGAUUUCUAAUAGCAGUGUGCCUAGAGUACUUUGAAAUUUGCCUAUUACUUUUACCAGAUAGCUAACAUGGUAUCAUACAUACAGUGGGGGCUACUAUUUGAUGUUUGCAGAUAUUGUGAAAAAAUACUGUACAAAGCAGUGGUUCUUAAGCCUCAAUGCACUUAGAAUUACUUGAUGAGGAGGGAGCUUUUUAAAAAUGCAGAGCCCUGAGCUUCAUUUUAGACCAAUUAAAACCGCCAGGCAAUUGUAAUGUGGUCAGGUUUGAGAAGCACUAAUAAUAUAAAAUAUCUUUUUGCACUGCUGAUGUUUUUCUACUGUAUUCAUCUCAGCUCUUUGUGAUGCUUUAAUCAUUUCAUUUCUGGUGAUUUACUUUUCCAGUGUGUCUAAAGUGAGCACAACUUGGAAGAAGAUCCUAGAAGAUGAUAAGGGGGCAUUCCAGUUGUACAGUAAAGCAAUACAAAGAGUUACCGUAAGUGUUUGCAGAUGAUGUUUUUAGUUAAAAAUGCACUGCUAGUGCUCUUCUAGAAAUAGAAAAGAAAAGAGGUAAUCUGGAAACCCUUCUUUACAGUCGUAAAGUAUUUCAGCCUUAUACUGGAACUUAGAAACCACAUUCAAAAAUAAAGAAAUCUCAACUCAAUCAUUUAUUUCUUGGAUUCUUCCUAGAAAUAGAAUGUCUAAAGUAACAAAGGGAAAAUUACUCAGUUCUCAGACAGAGUUGACCAUUUAGUCAAUCUUAGUUGCCAGUUGUGUGUAUGUGUAUUUUAUAACAUUUGGAAAGGCUGUUUUACUUUUUAGGUAUUAAGUACCAUAUAGACUAUGCAUCUAAAGUGAUUUCCCAUAGUAUUUGGUUCACAGUUUCUGUCUAUAAGUUAGGCUUGAUAUGUGUGAGUAUUUAGGUGUUGCUUUGUUUAAGUACGUGCAGGUAAAUUGCAUGUAGGGAUAAGUCUCUUACCUAAUCUUGUUUGUCAUUUCUUAUAUGUACAAACAUAAAAAUGUCUCGUUGAGGAUACAGGAAAUAAUUUCUAAAUUCCAUUACAACUUUUUUUUUAAAUUAGGAAAACAACAAUAAGUUUUCACCUCAUGCUUCAACCAGAGAAUAUGUUAUGUUCAGAACCCCACUGGCUUCUGUUCAGAAAUCAGCAGCCCAGACUUCUCUCAAAAAAGAUGCUCAAACCAAGUUAUCCAGUCAAGGUGAUCAGAAAGGUUCUACUUAUAGUCGACACAAUGAAUUCUCUGAGGUUGCCAAGACAUUGAAAAAGAACGAAAGCCUCAAAGCCUGUAUUCGCUGUAAUUCACCUGCAAAAUAUGAUUGCUAUUUACAACGGGCAACCUGCAAACGAGAAGGCUGUGGAUUUGAUUAUUGUACGAAGUGUCUCUGUAAUUACCAUACUACUAAAGACUGUUCAGAUGGCAAGCUCCUCAAAGCCAGUUGUAAAAUAGGUCCCCUGCCUGGUACGAAGAAAAGCAAAAAGAAUUUACGAAGAUUAUGAUCUCUUAUUAAUCAAUUGUUACUGAUCAUGAAUGUUAGUUAGAAAAUGUUAGGUUUUAACUUAAAAAAAAUUGUAUUGUGAUUUUCAAUUUUAUGUUGAAAUCAGUGUAGUAUCCUGAGGUUUUUUUCUCCCCAGCAGAUAAAGAGGAUAGACAACCUCUUAAAAUAUUUUUACAAUUUAAUGAGAAAAAGUUUAAAAUUCUCAAUACAAAUCAAACAAUUUAAAUAUUUUAAGAAAAAAGGAAAAGUAGAUAGUGAUACUGAGGGUAAAAAAAAAAUUGAUUCAAUUUUAUGGUAAAGGAAACCCAUGCAAUUUUUACCUAGACAGUCUUAAAUAUAAGUCUGGUUUUCCACCUGUUAGCAUUUCAGACAUUUUAUAUUCCUCUUAAUUGAUACCAACAGAAAUAUCAACUUCUGGAGUCUAUUAAAUGUUUUGUCACCUUUCUAAAGCUUUUUUUCAUUGUGUAUAUUUCCCAAGAAAGUAUCCUUUGUAAAAACUUGGCUUGUUUUCCUUAUUUCUGAAAUCUGUUUUAAUAUUUUUGUAUACAUGUAAAUAUUUCUGUAUUUUUUAUAUGUCAAAGAAUAUGUCUCUUUUGUAUGUACAUAUAAAAAUAAAUUUUGCUCAAUUAAAUUGUAAGCUUAAUGUU